AGUGAACGCUGGCGGCAGGCCUAACACAUGCAAGUCGAACGAGUGGCGGACGGGUGAGGAAUACAUCGGAAACUACCUUGUCGUGGGGGAUAACGAAGGGAAACCUACGCUAAUACCGCAUACGAUCGAAUGAGCCGAGGUCGGAUUAGCUAGUUGGCGGGGGAAAGGCCCACAAAGGCGACGAUCCGUAGCUGGUCUGAGAGGAUGAUCAGCCACACUGGAACUGAUACACGGUCCAGACUCCUCCGGGAGGCAGCAGUGGGGAAUAUUGGACAAUGGGCGCAAGCCUGAUCCAGCCAUGCCGCGUGGGUGAAGAAGGCCUUCGGGUUGUAAAGCCCUUUUGUUGGGGAAGCGGUACCCAAAGAAUAAGCACCGGCUAACUCCGUGCCAGCAGCCGCGGUAAUUC
rnacentral:rRNA from 1 species